AUUUUAUUCAUUACAUUUGUCAGCUCUAUUACUGAUACUCAGAUAAGUACUGAUAGAAAAAAUGAAAUAUAGUCUUGACAUUAGAAAUACAGAUUUCAUUUCAGGAAAUGCCAGAUCCUUUGUCUAAUGUAUUUACCAGCAGAAUAAACUGUAAAUGAGACUUGGGAAGCCAAGCCUUCAUAGCCUGCAUAAGACAGCAAGUAGAUCUCGACCAUAAUCAGAAUUCCUAUAGAAAAACAGCUCCCUCAAAACCCACUAAUGCAAAACAUUCUAGUAAAAGUAAAUAAAAACCAAUUAAAAAUACCUGCUCUAAUUCACUGCUAUAAUCCUGAUAACUGGAGCACGUGAUAUCAAGCACUUUGCUGAAAACUAAAUGAUCUAUUGGCAUACAUAUUGAAAAUUGACACGGCCCCACUACUCUUCCCAAGAUAUAACUUCUCAAGCAGGUCUGGCUAUUUGAUUUCUAAAACAUAAUUGUUUGAUUAUGAGGGCUAGCUCUGCUUUAGACUGCGAUUCAUCCACCAUCAUCAAUCUCUACCACAGAGUGACAAAACCUCGCUUCUACUUUUACAGCCCAUGCAUACAACUGUUUUCACACUUGCGAAUGACAAAUGAAACACACAGUAUCUUUCUUCUCUUAAGUAUCAUCGAGUCUAGAGAAAUGAAACAAGGUACUUGACAUUCUUGGGACACCAGCAGCAGCGUCUGCUGUGUUUUAUGCUCUACCUCGCCUUAAAUAAACCGAAUUUUAUUUCAAGUGUAAAAACCACUCAACGCUAAACUUACUUCAGAAUGUAACAUACUAGACCACAUUUGCAAUUCACAAAGUAGAUAAACAAAAGCUGCAGAUUUGGACAAGCUCUUUCACACUUCGCUGAUGUGAAUCACUCCAGUCAAACUUCAGACCACAUUCGUUCCACCAUCUGCGCGAACCAUGUUAAGUUUGGCAGCUCGGUGUCCAACAGCCACAUCUCAAAUUGUGUGCCACUGUCACAUCUCAAAGGCAUCUCCCGGUGCAUGGCCCUGCCCUGCUGAGGAGCGGCACCCGAAAGGAGCUGCCCGGCCAUUUGGAACACGGCGACGGUGGCACUACACCUGCGCCGAACAGAGCUCCAGGCAUUAUGAGAUUUCCUUUCCUAAACACAACAACUCCAAAUGUUCCUCCCUGUGCUUCUCUUCCACAGGAGCCACCUGGAGAAAGGUUAUUUUGGGAGUGCCUUGGGAUUGA
rnacentral:lncRNA from 1 species